rnacentral:rRNA from 1 species
UAAUACGUAGGUGGCAAGCGUUGUCCGGAUUUACUGGGCGUAAAGCGUGUGUAGGCGGAUGCUUAAGUAGAAAGUGAAAGGUUGGUGCUCAACACUAACAUUGCUCUCUAUACUGGGUAUCUUGAGUGCCGGAGAGGAAGAUGGAACGACACGUGUAGCGGUGAAAUGCGUUGAUAUGUGUCGGAACACCAAUGGCGAAGGCAAUCUUCUGGACGGCGAGGAUUUUUAAUCCUCUUAAAUCUGACGCUGAGACACGAAAGCCAAGGGAGCGAACAGGAUUAGAUACCCUGGUAGUCUUGGCCCUAAACUAUGUUCACUAGGUGUUGGGGAGCAAUCCUCGGUGCCGCAGCUAACGCAUUAAGUGAACCGCCUGGGGACUACGGCCGCAAGGUUG